rnacentral:rRNA from 1 species
CCUACGGGUGGCAGCAGUGAGGCAUAUUGGUCAAUGGGCGCGAGCCUGAACCAGCAAAGUAGCGUGAAGGAUGACUGCCCUACGGGUUGUAAACUUCUUUUGUGAAGGAAUCAAGUGAGCCACGUGUGCCUUUUUGUCUGUACUUUAUGAAUAAUGAUCGGCUAACUCCGUGCCAGCAGCCGCGGUACUACGGAGGAUCCGAGCGUUGUCCGGCUUUAUUGGGUUUAAAGGGAGCGUAGAUGGGUUGUUAAUGCAGUUGGGAAAAUUUGCGGGUCAAACGUAAAAAUGCAAUUGAUACUGGCAGCCGUGAGUACAGUUGAGGUAGGCGGAAUUCGUGGGGGAGCGGUGAAAUGCUUAGAUAUCACGAAGAACGUCGAUUGCGAAGGCAGCCUACCAAACUGCCACUGACAUUGAUGCUCGAAAGUGUGGGUAUCAAACAGGAUUAGAUACCCUGGUAGUC